rnacentral:lncRNA from 1 species
UGUCUCUGCUAGGUUUUGCAAACCCCGAAUGGCCGCAGAGCUGUUGCAGGCUCCUUCCUUCCCUCUCCGCUUCAUUUUUGUGUCGUUCUCAGCCCUCCCAAGAGGUGCACACGGGAAAGCAGAGGAGACCUGAGAUGCAGAUGACAGCGAUGGCACCAGUGUGCUGAAAGGAUGGCUGGUGGAGGGCAAACCCACAGCUUGUUCCCACCGAGAAGUGGGGGAACCCAUAGGAUAGCGGCAACGGGCGGACAAAGCCGCGGCGACGUGGUACCAGCCGGACACAGCUCCUCACUGGAAACAAGAUGAGCUGCAAGGGCCAGACCUGAGCAGGUGGAAACCUGCUCUGCUCGACGCGGUGCCUGCUUCAAAACCCGGAGGCAGCUACGCCCUGCGAGGCCACCAGGCUUUAUCCCAUGGUGCCUGCCCUGCACAGACCUCCCCGGGGCUCUCGCAAAUCUCGGGGAGGGGGCAGAGGGAGCAACAGCGGUUGCGUCAGGCCUGUUGCCUGGAGACAGGCGAGCUAUUCCAGUUUGAGCUUUUCAGUCCAGAUUUCCUGUCUCUCUUUCAUUCAUACCACCAAGCCCUGAACCUACCUCCCACCAAGCAAUAACCCUGGAGAGACCUGAAAGGGAGGAGCCGCGCAGCCCGGGUCCUAGACAUCCUCCGACAACGGCACCCAGAUGAGGGAGGAGGGAUAGGGAUGCUACAGGGGAUGAAGGGACCCCAAAAAUUCACAGGAGAUGCCCGGAGAGCCUGUGGCUGCUGUCCCCGUGGCUGUUCCCAUUACGCACCAUGGAGAGAUGUGAGCGCUUCUCCACAGAGCCCGGGGACCUCCGGCACUCGUCUGGGGAUAACAUUUUCCAGAUGCCACGGCUUGCCCAGAGCACCCUUUUUGUCAAUUUUCAGAUGUGCAUACGCAAGCUGCCUGGUGAUCAGCCCUCAAAGCCGUGCUGACGGCUUGCACCCACCCUUCCUGGGACUGCUGGUGGUGAGGAGGGACCAGGGAGAUGUGAGAGCUGUUCCCUCGCUGCUCAGACCUGCUGAUGCAGCCCUGCAGCUGCGUUUAAACGCUUAGCAGCAAACGGGUGGCUCCACAUUUCCUGCAACAUCUCAUCAAAACAAAAAUGUGGCUCUGACCACGAACCAAACGAUAUCAGGGCAUGGGCAUGGAUAUGUGGUUUUGACCAGGAAUUAGCAAGCCCAGGGCCCCUUCCUGGCAGACAAUUUGGAUGCGGCCACCCAAUUUUGAUAGCCAAGAGCAUUUAAUUGCACGACGUGGCCAGACAAGGUCAGCUGGCCUCAAGACCAGGGUCCAGGUCUGCAGAGGGUUAGUUUACCAGCGGAGGUGUCGCCACCAAGGCUGGACGUCUCUAUCGUUGCCGUAACAGACCACACACGGCCCCUGCUCCCUCUUCUGUAAAUGUUUAUUUUUAAUUUAGUUGUGUAAUGGAUUUCGAAUGAGCUGCCAUAAGACACCAGUGAAAGGCUGGAGCGAGGUCCCUCUGAAGUCGCUUUUUGGGUUAUGAAUGUUUUUGGCCUGAAUUUCUCUCAUUUAAGUUGUCUUCACCCAAAGGACGUGUGGUGGGAGCUGAGCCUCUCCUUCCACCAAAGCACUGUCCAUGAUGAGGCUCUAACCCCAACUGCCUGCACAAGCACCUGAAAUUAGGUGUAAUAACUCAAAAUAAAUCUGUAGAACACUAAUGCUGUCUAUAUGUA